rnacentral:lncRNA from 1 species
GUAGCAGCUUGUCCACUACUUCUUCCCGCGACAGACUUCUGCCCGUAGAGACAGACGCUAUCCCUGAAUGUCCUUAAGAGGAAGUAGCUGUUGAUUUAAUGCGGUGGGACUGUAAGAGUGUAUGUGGUGUAUCACGGUCUAUUUCGUCAAUCUCUUGGUGAAGGAAGGUCGCGGUGGUCUGGUCGAUUGUCUGUUCAACUGUCUUUUGUAGGCAUUUCUUAAGACAGGGUAACACACAACAAACAAGAAGAGCGAGGAUGAUUAUCGUUAUUAAAAUGGCAACACCUAUUUGGGCCAGAGCACCUU